UAGCCUUGACAUAUUAUAGAAUUCAGUAGAGAUACAGAAGUGCCUUCGGGAGCUAUAUUACAGGUGCUGCACGGCUGUCGUCAGCUCGUGUCGUGAGAUGUUGGGUUAAGUCCCGCAACGAGCGCAACCCUCGUCACUAGUUACUAACGGUUCGGCCGAGGACUCUAAGGAGACUGCCUUCGUAAGGAGGAGGAAGGUGAGGACGACGUCAAGUCAUCAUGGCCCUUACGGCUAGGGCAACACACGUGCUACAAUGGUUAGGACAAUGAGAAGCGAUACCGCGAGGUGGAGCAAAUCUAUAAACCUAAUCUCAGUUCGGAUAGCAGUCUGCAACUCGACUGCUUGAAGCUGGAAUCACUAGUAAUCGUAAAUCAGCUAUGUUACGGUGAAUACGUUCCCGGGUCU
rnacentral:rRNA from 1 species